AUUGAACGCUGGCGGCAUGCUUUACACAUGCAAGUCGAGAGGCAGCACGGGAGCUUGCUCCUGGUGGCGAGUGGCGAACGGGUGAGUAAUGCAUCGGAACGUAACUAUUAGUGGGGGAUAACACUUCGAAAGGAGUGCUAAUACCGCAUACGACCUGAGGGUGAAAGUGGGGGACCGUAAGGCCUCACGCUAAUAGAUCGGCCGAUGUCUGAUUAGCCAGUUGGUGGGGUAAAGGCUCACCAAGGCGACGAUCAGUAGCGGGUCUUAGAGGACGAUCCGCCACAAUGGAACAGAGACAGGGUCCAGACUCCGACGGGAGGCAGCAGUGGGGAAUCUUGGACAAUGGGCGCAAUCCUGAGCCAGCAAUGCCGCGUGGGUGAAGAAGGCCUUCGGGUUGUAAAGCGCUUUUGUUUGGGAGCAAAUCCUACGGGUUAAUACCUGGUGGGGAUGAGAGUACCAAAAGAAUAAUCACCGGCUAACUACGUGCCAGCCGCCGCCGUAA
rnacentral:rRNA from 1 species